UACGUAGGCAGCAAGCGUUGUUCGGAAUUACUGGGCGUAAAGAGUGUGUAGGCGGUUCUCUAAGUUCGGUGUGAAAUCUCCCGGCUUAACUGGGAGGGCGCGCCGGAAACUGGAGGGCUUGAGUAUGGGAGAGGAAGGCGGAAUUCCUGGUGUAGCGGUGGAAUGCGCAGAUAUCAGGAGGAACACCGGUGGCGAAGGCGGGUCUCUGGGCCGUUACUGACGCUGAGGAGCGAAAGCGUGGGGAGCGAACAGG
rnacentral:rRNA from 1 species